GUGGAUUAGAUACCCUAGUAGUCCACGCCGUAAACGAUGAUUACUAAGUGUUGGGGGAACUCAGUGCUGAAGUUAACACAUUAAGUAAUCCGCCUGGGGAGUACGUUCGCAAGAAUGAAACUCAAAGGAAUUGACGGGUGCCCGCACAAGCGGUGGAGCAUGUGGUUUAAUUCGACGCAACGCGAAGAACCUUACCAGGCCUUGACAUGCCAGUAAAGGCCCUAGAGAUAGGGAGAUAGUUAUACUGGACACAGGUGGUGCACGGUUGUCGCCAACU
rnacentral:rRNA from 1 species